CCCUUAGAUGUUCUGGGCCGCACGCGCGCUACACUGUUCGACGCAGCGAGUCUUAACCUUGACCGAAAGGUUUGGGUAAUCUUCAGCAAAGUCGAACGUGAUGGGGAUCGAUCAUUGCAAUUAUUGAUCGUGGACGAGGAAUUCCUAGUAAGUGCAAGUCAUCAGCUUGCGCUGAUUACGUCCCUGCCCUUUGUACACACCGCCCGUCGCUACUACCGAUUGAAUGGUUUAGUGAGAUCUCUGGAUUGACGCUGGCUAGGGGGCGACCCUUGGCCAGACUGUUGAGAAACUGCUCAAACUUGAUCAUUUAGAGGAAGUAAAAGUCGUAACA
rnacentral:rRNA from 1 species